rnacentral:lncRNA from 1 species
UGUUUGAGGGCUCUUAACUUCUCUCUAGUUUAUAUUGUAGCAAAUCUGCUUUUUAAGAAGCUCAGUUUUUCUGUUUGUUUCUUAUUCUUUCCAUAUUGUUUUUGCUUGAUUCAAUCGGGGGAUUGAAUCAAGGGUGUAGAGGUUGGUUGGUGAGCCGAGUGUAAAACCAACGUGUAAGGGUUCGAUUGUGAUCCCGGAAAAACAAUCGGGGUUGGUUCUAGUCGGUGAGCCUGGGAAAACCGACCGAGUUCGUUGUGAGCUCGUAAAACAACAAGUUUGGUUGUGAGCUUGGAAAACAAC